rnacentral:rRNA from 1 species
GAUGAACGCUGGCGGCGUGCCUAAUACAUGCAAGUCGAGCGAACGGACGAGAAGCUUGCUUCUCUGAUGUUAGCGGCGGACGGGUGAGUAACACGUGGAUAACCUACCUAUAAGACUGGGAUAACUUCGGGAAACCGUAGCUAAUACCGGAUAAUAUUUUGAACCGCAUGGUCCAAAAGUGAAAGACGGUCUUGCUGUCACUUAUAGAUGGAUCCGCGCUGCAUUAGCUAGUUGGUAAGGUAACGGCUUACCAAGGCAACGAUGCAUAGCCGACCUGAGAGGGUGAUCGGCCACACUGGAACUGAGACACGGUCCAGACUCCUACGGGAGGCAGCAGUAGGGAAUCUUCCGCAAUGGGCGAAAGCCUGACGGAGCAACGCCGCGUGAGUGAUGAAGGUCUUCGGAUCGUAAAACUCUGUUAUUAGGGAAGAACAUAUGUGUAAGUAGCUGUGCACAUCUUGACGGUACCUAAUCAGAAAGCCACGGCUAACUACGUG